GAUGAACGCUGGCGGCGUGCCUAAUACAUGCAAGUCGAGCGAACAGACGAGGAGCUUGCUCCUCUGACGUUAGCGGCGGACGGGUGAGUAACACGUGGAUAACCUACCUAUAAGACUGGGAUAACUUCGGGAAACCGGAGCUAAUACCGGAUAAUAUAUUGAACCGCAUGGUUCAAUAGUGAAAGACGGUUUUGCUGUCACUUAUAGAUGGAUCCGCGCCGCAUUAGCUAGUUGGUAAGGUAACGGCUUACCAAGGCGACGAUGCGUAGCCGACCUGAGAGGGUGAUCGGCCACAAUGGAACUGGGAAACGGUCCAGACUCCUACGGGAGGCAGCAGUAGGGAAUCUUCCGCAAUGGGCGAAAGCCUGACGGAGCAACGCCGCGGGAGUGAAGAAGGUUUUCGGAUCGUAAAACUCUGUUAUUAGGGAAGAACAAAUGUGUAAGUAACUAUGCACGUCUUGACGGUACCUAAUCAGAAAGCCACGGCUAACUACGUG
rnacentral:rRNA from 1 species